CAAUUCACAUUACUUAUCGCAUUUCGCUGCGUUCUUCAUCGAUGCGAGAGCCAAGAGAUCCGUUGUUGAAAGUUGUAUUUGAUUGCGUUUUAAGGCAACAUGAACAUUCUAUGACACAUUCAGAGUAUAUGAUACAUAAGCCCGAAGGCCUACGGUGGGUUCACAGGUGUGUUGUGGAUUUA
rnacentral:rRNA from 1 species